rnacentral:rRNA from 1 species
GGCAACAGCUCAAAUUUGAAAUCUGGCCUCUCGGGGUCCGAGUUGUAAUUUGUAGAGGAUGUUUCGGGUACCGCCUCGGUUUAAAUUUCUUGGAACAGAAUGUCAAAGAGGGUGAGAAUCCCGUCUUGGACCGGCGGUAGGGCCUAUGUGAAACUCUUUCGACGAGUCGAGUUGUUUGGGAAUGCAGCUCAAAAUGGGUGGUAAAUUUCAUCUAAAGCUAAAUAUUGGCCAGAGACCGAUAGCGCACAAGUAGAGUGAUCGAAAGAUGAAAAGCACUUUGAAAAGAGAGUUAAACAGUAUGUGAAAUUGUUGAAAGGGAAGCGCUUGCAACCAGACUUGAGCGCGGCGGUUCCCCCUUGCUUCUGCUCGGGUUACUCCGCCGUGUCCAGGCCAACAUCGGUUCUGGGGGUCGGUCAAAGGCUCUGGGAAUGUAUCUACCCACGGGUAGACUUAUAGACCAGGGUGUCAUGCGACCUCCCGGGACCGAGGAACGCGCUUCGGCCCGGAUGUUGGCGUAAUGGUUGUCAGCGACCCG